rnacentral:rRNA from 1 species
UACGGAAGGCAGCAGUGGGGAAUAUUGCACAAUGGGCGAAAGCCUGAUGCAGCGACGCCGCGUGAGGGAUGACGGCCUUCGGGUUGUAAACCUCUUUCAGCAGGGAAGAAGCGAAAGUGACGGUACCUGCAGAAGAAGCGCCGGCUAACUACGUGCCAGCAGCCGCGGUAAUACGUAGGGCGCAAGCGUUGUCCGGAAUUAUUGGGCGUAAAGAGCUCGUAGGCGGCUUGUCACGUCGGGUGUGAAAGCCCGGGGCUUAACCCCGGGUCUGCAUCCGAUACGGGCAGGCUAGAGUGUGGUAGGGGAGAUCGGAAUUCCUGGUGUAGCGGUGAAAUGCGCAGAUAUCAGGAGGAACACCGGUGGCGAAGGCGGAUCUCUGGGGCCAUUACUGACGCUGAGGAGCGAAAGCGUGGGGAGCGAACAGGGAUUAGAUACC